GAGGAAUGUGCGCGCGCAUAGCUUAUUUGCAUCUGUGAAGGGCGUGUGAGUAUUGGAAUAAGCAGCACUGAGCGAGCAUUCCUUUUUUUAAACCAAGGUGUGGGUAAUUUACACAACAACAUGCUGAAACAAAUCCUUUGCCUUUUACUCGUUUUCUUUUUGUCGAUGGUAAUGGCACAAAAUGAUACCAGUACAACUCCAAAGAGUGGCGCCGAUUUGUUAACAGGUACCUUGGCAGUUCUGAUGACGUCAGUGUUUCUGCUUCUCCGCUCUCUCCAGUGAGGACUCUUCCUAAAUCAGUGCUGCCAUGCACACCAUAUUUAUAUAAGUCUAACUCUAUAAAUAAUGUAUCUCAUGAAAUAAACACUGUAUAAAGUCAAA